GCGUGUCGUGUGUGUGUCGUCCUCAGGUGUGUGUGCGUCGUCCUCAGGUGUGUGUGUGUCGUCCUCAGGUGUGUGUGUCGUCCUCAGGUGUGUGUGUGUCGUCCUCAGGUGUGUGUGUGUCGUCCUCAGGUGUGUGUGUCGUCCUCAGGUGUGUGUGUGUCGUCCUCAGGUGUGUGUGUGUCGUCCUCAGGUGUGUGUGUGUCGUCCUCAGGUGUGUGUGCGUCGUCCUCAGGUGUGUGUGCGUCGUCCUCAGGUGUGUGUGCGUCGUCCUCAGGUGUGUGUGUGUCGUCCUCAGGUGUGU